rnacentral:rRNA from 1 species
GAACGCUGGCGGCGUGCCUAAUACAUGCAGUAGAACGCUGAAGAGAGGAGCUUGCUCUUCUUGGAUGAGUUGCGAACGGGUGAGUAACGCGUAGGUAACCUGCCUGUGUAGCGGGGGAUAACUAUUGGAAACGAUAGCUAAUACCGCAUAACAAUGGAUGACCCAUGUCAUUUAUUUGAAAGGGGCAAAUGCUCCACUACAAGAUGGACCUGCGUUGUAUUAGCAAGUAGGUGAGGUAACGGCUCACCUAGGCGACGAUACAUAGCCGACCUGAGAGGGUGAUCGGCCACACUGGGACUGAGACACGGCCCAGACUCCUACGGGAGGCAGCAGUAGGGAAUCUUCGGCAAUGGGGGCAACCCUGACCGAGCAACGCCGCGUGAGUGAAGAAGGUUUUCGGAUCGUAAAGCUCUGUUGUAAGUCAAGAACGAGUGUGAGAGUGGAAAGUUCACACUGUGACGGUAGCUUACCAGAAAGGGACGGCUAACUACGUGCCAGCAGCCGCGGUAAUACGUAGGUCCCGAGCGUUGUCCGGAUUUAUUGGGCGUAAAGCGAGCGCAGGCGGUUUGAUAAGUCUGAAGUUAAAGGCUGUGGCUCAACCAUAGUUCGCUUUGGAAACUGUCAAACUUGAGUGCAGAAGGGGAGAGUGGAAUUCCAUGUGUAGCGGUGAAAUGCGUAGAUAUAUGGAGGAACACCGGUGGCGAAAGCGGCUCUCUGGUCUGUAACUGACGCUGAGGCUCGAAAGCGUGGGGAGCGAACAGGAUUAGAUACCCUGGUAGUCCACGCCGUAAACGAUGAGUGCUAGGUGUUGGAUCCUUUCCGGGAUUCAGUGCCGCAGCUAACGCAUUAAGCACUCUGCCUGG